GCUUAGCUAGCUCAGUUGGCAGUGCAUCAGACUCUUAAUCUGAGGGUCCAGGGUUCAAUUCCCAGGUCAGGUG